rnacentral:rRNA from 1 species
UAGGGAAUCUUCGGCAAUGGGGGGAACCCUGACCGAGCAACGCCGCGUGAGUGAAGAAGGUUUUCGGAUCGUAAAGCUCUGUUGUUAAGGAAGAACGAGUGUGAGAAUGGAAAGUUCAUGCUGUGACGGUACUUAACCAGAAAGGGACGGCUAACUACGUGCCAGCAGCCGCGGUAAUACGUAGGUCCCGAGCGUUGUCCGGAUUUAUUGGGCGUAAAGCGAGCGCAGGCGGUUAGAAAAGUCUGAAGUGAAAGGCAGUGGCUCAACCAUUGUAGGCUUUGGAAACUGUUUAACUUGAGUGCAGAAGGGGAGAGUGGAAUUCCAUGUGUAGCGGUGAAAUGCGUAUAUAUAUGGAGGAACACCGGUGGCGAAAGCGGCUCUCUGGUCUGUAACUGACGCUGAGGCUCGAAAGCGUGGGGAGCGAACAGG